GUGAGCAUAGUUUAAUAAAACCGUUAGAUUGUGAUUCUAAAAACGGGGGUUAGAAACCCCUUGCCCACC
rnacentral:tRNA from 1 species